rnacentral:rRNA from 1 species
UCUCAGUUCGGAUUGGAGUCUGCAACCCGACUCCAUGAAGCUGGAUUCGCUAGUAAUCGCGCAUCAGCCACGGCGCGGUGAAUACGUUCCCGGGCCUUGUACACACCGCCCGUCAAGCCAUGGAAGCCGGGAGUGCCUGAAGUGCGUGAGCGCAAGCAGCGCCCUAAGGUAAAACCGGUGACUGGGGCUAAGUCGUAACAAGGUACC